GGUCCUGUAGCUCAGUGGUUAGAGCGAUGGUUUUACGAGCCGUUGGCCGUGGGUUCGACCUCCGCUGGGGCUA
rnacentral:tRNA from 1 species